AUCCAUUGCAUCAAUUAUAAGAAAUAGGAUAAUCGGAAGAAUUUACAUAUCAAAGACCAGAAAUAUCUUUUCGUUAUGAAAGAACUCGGUAUUAAAAAACUACGGUGAUCAGAACGCAGGAGCAUAAUAGAUCUUCAGUCUCACUCACGCAAUCGAUAUCUAUUUCGUGAAUUCUAUUAUUUGAUCCAAUCUCAGGUAGCUACUAACUAGUAAUAACAUGUUCUUCAGGCAUCAUAACACAUAAAAAAAGUGCAUAACUUGGCUCUGGUUUAACAUAAGUUACCAUGAAACUACGAUGAGUGUCGAUGAUAUGCUAUGGAUUAUGCUAAAAGAAACAUUAACACAUAGCUUUUCAGAAUUGAUAUGUCGUGUAAGGCAAUGGUUUUACUUGGCACAGGCAAUACCAUCGUGCACUCCCACUUGUGUUGUAGACUCAUUCAUCGAAAGUUUUGCACUCUAUGGUUUCUGGGUUGUCCUUGCAGAAGGUCUCCAGAGGGUCCGAAUCCUUUUCCUUUUGCUUGUCCCUCGCGUCUUUCGCCGCAGCGC
rnacentral:lncRNA from 1 species